rnacentral:rRNA from 1 species
GGAGUCUGGGCCGUGUCUCAGUCCCAAUGUGGCCGUUCACCCUCUCAGGCCGGCUAUGGAUCGUCGCUUUGGUGGGCCGUUACCCCGCCAACUGGCUAAUCCAACGCGGAGCCAUCCUGUACCACCGGAGUUUUUCACACAGAGCCAUGCGGCUCCGUGCGCUUAUGCGGUAUUAGCAGUGAUUUCUCACUGUUAUCCCCCAGUACAGGGCAGGUUCUCCACGCGUUACUCACCCGUCCGCCACUAAACUAUAAAGAAUCACUCCGAAAAGAUCUUCUGAAUAGUCCCGUUCGACUUGCAUGUGUUAGGCACGCCGCCAGCGUUCAUCCUGAGCCAGGAUCAAACACU